GAUGAACGCUGGCGGCGUGCCUAAUACAUGCAAGUCGAGCGAACAGACGAGGAGCUUGCUCCUUUGACGUUAGCGGCGGACGGGUGAGUAACACGUAGGUAACCUACCUAUAAGACUGGGAUAACUUCGGGAAACCGGAGCUAAUACCGGAUAAUAUUUCGAACCGCAUGGUUCGAUAGUGAAAGAUGGCUUUGCUAUCACUUAUAGAUGGACCUGCGCCGUAUUAGCUAGUUGGUAAGGUAAAGGCUUACCAAGGCAACGAUACGUAGCCGACCUGAGAGGGGGAUCGGCCACACUGGAACUGAGACACGGUCCAGAGUCCUACGGGAGGCAGCAGUAGGGUAUCGGCCGCAAUGGGCGAAAGCCUGACGGAGCAACGGCGCGUGAGUGAUGAAGGUCUUCGGAGCGUAAAACUCUGUUAUUAGGGAAGAACAAACGUGUAAGUAACUGUGGACGUCUUGACGGUACCUAAACAGAAAGCCACGGCUAACUACGUG
rnacentral:rRNA from 1 species